AACGUCAUGGCCUCAUGGUAAACAUCAUGAGUGAAAAUAUGGAGAACAUGGCCUUUUCAGGUCCAUGGAGAACGCCAUGGCGUCAUGGUGAAUGCCAUGAGUGUAAAAUUUCUGAUCCCUGAUUUUUCUUGUCUUCUAGGUGGAACCCAUGGUUUCCACGUCAUGGAAAGUGCCAUGGUGAAAGCCAAGAGGACAAAUCUUGGCUCUUUCUCCAUUUUUUGCCAUUUUUGUCCCGAUUU
rnacentral:lncRNA from 1 species